GACGAACGCUGGCGGCGUGCUUAACACAUGCAAGUCGAACGGAAAGGCCCUGCUUUUGUGGGGUGCUCGAGUGGCGAACGGGUGAGUAACACGUGAGUAACCUGCCCUUGACUUUGGGAUAACUUCAGGAAACUGGGGCUAAUACCGGAUAGGAGCUCCUGCUGCAUGGUGGGGGUUGGAAAGUUUCGGCGGUUGGGGAUGGACUCGCGGCUUAUCAGCUUGUUGGUGGGGUAGUGGCUUACCAAGGCUUUGACGGGUAGCCGGCCUGAGAGGGUGACCGGCCACAUUGGGACUGGGAUACGGCCCAGACUCCUACGGGAGGCAACAGUGGGGAAUAUUGCACAAUGGGCGGAAGCCUGAUGCAGCAACGCCGCGUGCGGGAGGACGGCCUUCGGGUUGUAACCGCUUUCGCCUGUGACGAAGCGUGAGUGACGGUAAUGGGUAAAGAAGCACCGGCUAACUACGUG
rnacentral:rRNA from 1 species